UCAAGCUUCGCGAUGGCACCGGUUUCGUGGCGAUCGGGCUUCGUUUGUGAAUCGACGGUCGAGAUCGUCCGCAAAUUUCUCCGGAUGGUCGGGUGUCAGAUCGGAAAAUCGAAAGCGGGGAUCGUCAUCAGCGCGUCGUUGUGAGUCCGAUGGUGUGUUCGGAUCGUCGAUCGGACUCCGGCGGCUGGAGGCGAGUCGACCGAGCGACCGAGCGUCUUGAUGAUCUGUCU
rnacentral:lncRNA from 1 species